UACGUAGGGGGCUAGCGUUGUCCGGAAUCAUUGGGCGUAAAGAGCGUGUAGGCGGCCCGGUAAGUCCGCUGUGAAAGUCGGGGGCUCAACCCUCGAAUGCCGGUGGAUACUGUCGGGCUAGAGUGCGGAAGAGGCGAGUGGAAUUCCUGGUGUAGCGGUGAAAUGCGCAGAUAUCAGGAGGAACACCGAGUGCGAAGGCAGCUCGGUGGGACGUAACUGACGCUGAGACGCGAAAGCGUGGGGAGCAAACAGG
rnacentral:rRNA from 1 species